CAUGCAAGUCGAGGGGAAACGAUAUUGGAAGCUUGCUUCCGAUAGGCGUCGACCGGCGCACGGGUGAGUAACGCGUAUCCAACCUGCCCACCACUUGGGGAUAACCUUGCGAAAGUAAGACUAAUACCCAAUGACGUCUCUAGAAGACAUCUGAAAGAGAUUAAAGAUUUAUCGGUGAUGGAUGGGGAUGCGUCUGAUUAGCUUGUUGGCGGGGUAACGGCCCACCAAGGCUACGAUCAGUAGGGGUUCUGAGAGGAAGGUCCCCCACAUUGGAACUGAGACACGGUCCAAACUCCUACGGGAGGCAGCAGUGAGGAAUAUUGGUCAAUGGACGAGAGUCUGAACCAGCCAAGUAGCGUGCAGGAUGACGGCCCUAUGGGUUGUAAACUGCUUUUAUAAGGGAAUAAAGUGAGUCUCGUGAGACUUUUUGCAUGUACCUUAUGAAUAAGGACCGGCUAAUUCCGUGCCAGCAGCCGCGGUAAUACGGAAGGUCCGGGCGUUAUCCGGAUUUAUUGGGUUUAAAGGGAGCGUAGGCCGGAGAUUAAGCGUGUUGUGAAAUGUAGACGCUCAACGUCUGCACUGCAGCGCGAACUGGUUUCCUUGAGUACGCACAAAGUGGGCGGAAUUCGUGGUGUAGCGGUGAAAUGCUUAGAUAUCACGAAGAACUCCGAUUGCGAAGGCAGCUCACUGGAGCGCAACCGACGCUGAAGCUCGAAAGUGCGGGUAUCGAACAGGAUUAGAUACCCUGGUAGUCCGCACGGUAAACGAUGGAUGCCCGCUGUUGGUCUGAAUAGGUCAGCGGCCAAGCGAAAGCAUUAAGCAUCCCACCUGGGGAGUACGCCGGCAACGGUGAAACUCAAAGGAACUGACGGGG
rnacentral:rRNA from 1 species